GGAAGUAUGCCCGAAAGCCAGGGACCUCCUUGAUAGGGAGACAUAUAUGGGUUCAAACCCCCUUACUUCCU
rnacentral:tRNA from 2 species